GCCGGGCGUGGUGGUGCGUGCCUGUAGUCCCAGCUACUCAGGAGGCUGAGGCAGAAGAAUCGCUUGAACCCAGGAGGUGGAGGUUGCAGUGAGCCAAGAUCACGCCACUGCACUCCAGCCUGGGCAACAGAGCGAGACUCUGUCUCCA
rnacentral:SRP_RNA from 1 species